rnacentral:rRNA from 1 species
GUGUCGUGAGGAUGUCGGUUAAGUCCGGGCAACGAGCGCAACCCACAUCCUUAGUUGCCAGCAUUCGGCUGGGCACUCUAAGGAAACUAGCCCGUGAUAAGCGGGAGGAAGGUGUGGAUGACGUCAAGUCCUCAUGGCCCUUACGGGUUGGGCUACACACGUGCUACAAUGGCAGUGACAAUGGGUUAAUCCCCAAAAAACUGUCUCAGUUCGGAUUGUCGUCUGCAACUCGACGGCAUGAAGUCGGAAUCGCUAGUAAUCGCGUAACAGCAUGACGCGGUGAAUACGUUCCCGGGCCUU